rnacentral:rRNA from 1 species
CCUACGGGCGGCAGCAGUGAGGAAUAUUGGUCAAUGGACGGAAGUCUGAACCAGCCAUGCCGCGUGCAGGAAGACGGCUCUAUGAGUUGUAACCUGCUUUUGUACGAGGGUAAACCUGAAUACGUGUAUUCAGCUGAAAGUACUGUACGAAUAAGGAACGGCCAACUCCGUGCCAUCAGCCGCGGUAAUACGGAGGAGCCAAGCGUUAUCCGGAUUGAUUGGGUUUAAAGGGUGCGUAGGCGGAUUGAUAAGUUAGAGGUGAAAUGUCCGAGCUUAACUCGGGAACUGCCUCUAAUACUGUUGAUCUAGAGAGUAGAUGAGGUAGGCGGAAUGUAUGGUGUAGCGGUGAAAUGCGUAGAGAUCAGACAGAACACCGAUUGCGAAGGCAGCUUACCAGUCUAUAUCUGACGUUGAGGCACGAAAGCGUGGGGAGCAAACAGGAUUAGAUACCCGAGUAGUC